AUUGAACGCUGGCGGCAGGCCUAACACAUGCAAGUCGAACGGAGUGGCGGGCGGGUGAGUAAUGUCUGGGAAACUGCCUGGUAGUGGGGGAUAACGUGCGGACAGGGGCGCUAAUACCGCAUACUAUCAGAUGAGCCUAGGUCGGAUUAGCUAGGUGGUGGGGUAAGGGCCUACCAAGGCGACGAUCCGUAAGUGGUCUGAGAGGAUGAUCAGUCACACUGGAACUGAGACACGGUCCAGACUCCUACGGGAGGCAGCAGUGGGGAAUAUUGGGCAAUGGGCGAAAGCCUGAUGCAGCCAUGCCGCGUGUGUGAAGAAGGUCUUCGGAUUGUAAAGCACUUUAAGUUGGGAGGCGUUACCAACAGAAUAAGCACCGGCUAACUUCGUGCCAGCAGCCGCUGUAAUAC
rnacentral:rRNA from 1 species